rnacentral:rRNA from 1 species
AUGAACGCUAGCUACAGGCUUAACACAUGCAAGUCGAGGGGCAGCAUUUUAGUUUGCUUGCAAACUAAAGAUGGCGACCGGCGCACGGGUGAGUAACACGUAUCCAACCUGCCGAUAACUCGGGGAUAGCCUUUCGAAAGAAAGAUUAAUAUCCGAUAGUAUAUUAAAACCGCAUGGUUUUACUAUUAAAGAAUUUCGGUUAUCGAUGGGGAUGCGUUCCAUUAGUUUGUUGGCGGGGUAACGGCCCACCAAGACUACGAUGGAUAGGGGUUCUGAGAGGAAGGUCCCCCACAUUGGAACUGAGACACGGUCCAAACUCCUACGGGAGGCAGCAGUGAGGAAUAUUGGUCAAUGGACGAGAGUCUGAACCAGCCAAGUAGCGUGAAGGAUGACUGCCCUAUGGGUUGUAAACUUCUUUUAUAUGGGAAUAAAGUUUUCCACGUGUGGAAUUUUGUAUGUACCGUAUGAAUAAGGAUCGGCUAACUCCGUGCCAGCAGCCGCGGUAAUACGGAGGAUCCGAGCGUUAUCCGGAUUUAUUGGGUUUAAAGGGAGCGUAGGUGGAUUGUUAAGUCAGUUGUGAAAGUUUGCGGCUCAACCGUAAAAUUGCAGUUGAAACUGGCAGUCUUGAGUACAGUAGAGGUGGGCGGAAUUCGUGGUGUAGCGGUGAAAUGCUUAGAUAUCACGAAGAACUCCGAUUGCGAAGGCAGCUCACUAGACUGCAACUGACACUGAUGCUCGAAAGUGUGGGUAUCAAACAGGAUUAGAUACCCUGGUAGUCCACACAGUAAACGAUGAAUACUCGCUGUUUGCGAUAUACAGUAAGCGGCCAAGCGAAAGCAUUAAGUAUUCCACCUGGGGAGUACGCCGGCAACGGUGAAACUCAAAGGAAUUGACGGGGGCCCGCACAAGCGGAGGAACAUGUGGUUUAAUUCGAUGAUACGCGAGGAACCUUACCCGGGCUUAAAUUGCAGAUGAAUUACGGUGAAAGCCGUAAGCCGCAAGGCAUCUGUGAAGGUGCUGCAUGGUUGUCGUCAGCUCGUGCCGUGAGGUGUCGGCUUAAGUGCCAUAACGAGCGCAACCCUUAUCUUUAGUUACUAACAGGUUAUGCUGAGGACUCUAGAGAGACUGCCGUCGUAAGAUGUGAGGAAGGUGGGGAUGACGUCAAAUCAGCACGGCCCUUACGUCCGGGGCUACACACGUGUUACAAUGGGGGGUACAGAAGGCAGCUACCUGGCGACAGGAUGCUAAUCCCAAAAACCUCUCUCAGUUCGGAUCGAAGUCUGCAACCCGACUUCGUGAAGCUGGAUUCGCUAGUAAUCGCGCAUCAGCCAUGGCGCGGUGAAUACGUUCCCGGGCCUUGUACACACCGCCCGUCAAGCCAUGAAAGCCGGGGGUACCUGAAGUACGUAACCGCAAGGAGCGUCCUAGGGUAAAACUGGUAAUUGGGGCU